rnacentral:rRNA from 1 species
AGCGAACGCUGGCGGCAGGCUUAACGCAUGCAAGUCGAGCGGACCUUUCGGGGUCAGCGGCGGACGGGUGAGUAACGCGUGGGAACGUGCCUUCCGGUUCGGAAUAACCCUGGGAAACUAGGGCUAAUACCGGAUACGCCCUUAUGGGGAAAGGUUUACUGCCGGAAGAUCGGCCCGCGUCUGAUUAGCUAGUUGGUGGGGUAACGGCCUACCAAGGCGACGAUCAGUAGCUGGUCUGAGAGGAUGAUCAGCCACACUGGGACUGAGACACGGCCCAGACUCCUACGGGAGGCAGCAGUGGGGAAUAUUGGACAAUGGGCGCAAGCCUGAUCCAGCCAUGCCGCGUGAGUGAUGAAGGCCUUAGGGUUGUAAAGCUCUUUUAUCCGGGACGAUAAUGACGGUACCGGAGGAAUAAGCCCCGGCUAACUUCGUG